AAAUUGAAGAGUUUGAUCAUGGCUCAGAUUGAACGCUGGCGGCAGGCCUAACACAUGCAAGUCGAGCGGUAGCACAGAGAGCUUGCUCUCGGGUGACGAGCGGCGGACGGGUGAGUAAUGUCUGGGAAACUGCCUGAUGGAGGGGGAUAACUACUGGAAACGGUAGCUAAUACCGCAUAAUGUCGCAAGACCAAAGUGGGGGACCUUCGGGCCUCAUGCCAUCAGAUGUGCCCAGAUGGGAUUAGCUAGUAGGUGGGGUAACGGCUCACCUAGGCGACGAUCCCUAGCUGGUCUGAGAGGAUGACCAGCCACACUGGAACUGAGACACGGUCCAGACUCCUACGGGAGGCAGCAGUGGGGAAUAUUGCACAAUGGGCGCAAGCCUGAUGCAGCCAUGCCGCGUGUGUGAAGAAGGCCUUCGGGUUGUAAAGCACUUUCAGCGGGGAGGAAGGCGAUAAGGUUAAUAACCUUGUCGAUUGACGUUACCCGCAGAAGAAGCACCGGCUAACUCCGUGCCAGCAGCCGCGGUAAUACGGAGGGUGCAAGCGUUAAUCGGAAUUACUGGGCGUAAAGCGCACGCAGGCGGUCUGUCAAGUCGGAUGUGAAAUCCCCGGGCUCAACCUGGGAACUGCAUUCGAAACUGGCAGGCUAGAGUCUUGUAGAGGGGGGUAGAAUUCUAGGUGUAGCGGUGAAAUGCGUAGAGAUCUGGAGGAAUACCGGUGGCGAAGGCGGCCCCCUGGACAAAGACUGACGCUCAGGUGCGAAAGCGUGGGGAGCAAACAGGAUUAGAUACCCUGGUAGUCCACGCCGUAAACGAUGUCGAUUUGGAGGUUGUGCCCUUGAGGCGUGGCUUCCGGAGCUAACGCGUUAAAUCGACCGCCUGGGGAGUACGGCCGCAAGGUUAAAACUCAAAUGAAUUGACGGGGGCCCGCACAAGCGGUGGAGCAUGUGGUUUAAUUCGAUGCAACGCGAAGAACCUUACCUGGUCUUGACAUCCACAGAACUUUCCAGAGAUGGAUUGGUGCCUUCGGGAACUGUGAGACAGGUGCUGCAUGGCUGUCGUCAGCUCGUGUUGUGAAAUGUUGGGUUAAGUCCCGCAACGAGCGCAACCCUUAUCCUUUGUUGCCAGCGGUUAGGCCGGGAACUCAAAGGAGACUGCCAGUGAUAAACUGGAGGAAGGUGGGGAUGACGUCAAGUCAUCAUGGCCCUUACGACCAGGGCUACACACGUGCUACAAUGGCAUAUACAAAGAGAAGCGACCUCGCGAGAGCAAGCGGACCUCAUAAAGUAUGUCGUAGUCCGGAUUGGAGUCUGCAACUCGACUCCAUGAAGUCGGAAUCGCUAGUAAUCGUAGAUCAGAAUGCUACGGUGAAUACGUUCCCGGGCCUUGUACACACCGCCCGUCACACCAUGGGAGUGGGUUGCAAAAGAAGUAGGUAGCUUAACCUUCGGGAGGGCGCUUACCACUUUGUGAUUCAUGACUGGGGUGAAGUCGUAACAAGGUAACCGUAGGGGAACCUGCGGUUGGAUCACCUCCUUACCUUAAAGAA
rnacentral:rRNA from 1 species